UUCUCAGUUCGGAUUGUAGGCUGCAACUCGCCUACAUGAAGCUGGAAUCGCUAGUAAUCGCGGAUCAGCAUGCCGCGGUGAAUACGUUCCCGGGCCUUGUACACACCGCCCGUCACACCACGAGAGUUUGUAACACCCGAAGUCGGUGAGGUAACCUUUUGGAGCCAGCCGCCUAAGGUGGGACAGAUGAUUGGGGUGAAGUCGUAACAAGGUAGCCGUAUCGGAAGGUGCGGCUGGAUCACCUCCUUUCUAAGGAA
rnacentral:rRNA from 1 species